rfam:Serratia symbiotica genome assembly, type strain CWBI-2.3T, contig: SYMBAF_Contig_12
AGUUGAUGCAGUUCGCUUCCCAGCGGCUUCACCCGCAGCGAGUUGUUGUGUAAAGCCACUUCCCCCGUGGCUCUCACCUGUUCGCCAUCCAGCGGGAUAUCAAGAUGUAAACGCCCGCUGACAUUGCCGCCAAGUUGCAAUUCAUCUAGCGCUGCGCCAAGCGAAUCUUGCAGCGGGGUCUGUUUGAAAUAGUCGUGAACGUCAGUACCAGCUCCCACCAGCUCGGCGUCAAUCAGCAACCGUUCCUUAAGGUAGUCUGGGAUCACCGCACUGACAUUUUUGCCGUCAACCUUACCCAGCUUGGUGUGCGCCGCUUGCAUCCACAGCCCGUCGUUGAUGAAAUCGAGGUCGAUCGCCAGAUCGGUCAGCACCGGCCAGCCCGGCUGGAACUGGAAGGUCGAAUGACGCAAAGGAACC